rnacentral:rRNA from 1 species
GACGAACGCUGGCGGCGUGCUUAACACAUGCAGGUCGAACGGAAAGGCCCUGCUUUUGUGGGGUGCUCGAGUGGCGAACGGGUGAGUAACACGUGAGUAACCUGCCCUUGACUUUGGGAUAACUUCAGGAAACUGGGGCUAAUACCGGAUCGGAGCUCCUGCUGCAUGGUGGGGGUUGGAAAGUUUCGGCGGUUGGGGAUGGACUCGCGGCUUAUCAGCUUGUUGGUGGGGUAGUGGCUUACCAAGGCUUUGACGGGUAGCCGGCCUGAGAGGGUGACCGGCCACAUUGGGACUGAGAUACGGCCCAGACUCCUACGGGAGGCAGCAGUGGGGAAUAUUGCACAAUGGGCGGAAGCCUGAUGCAGCAACGCCGCGUGCGGGAUGACGGCCUUCGGGUUGUAAACCGCUUUCGCCUGUGACGAAGCGUGAGUGACGGUAAUGGGUAAAGAAGCACCGGCUAACUACGUG